UCACACAAGAGACCCAAAUUAAUAGUAUGCGGCGUAAAGAGUGGACCCAUGAUUAUUGCAAUAAUUAAGGUCAAAAUGUGGCUAAGCUGUCAUAAGCUUCAUUAGACACACUUAAAACCGCCCUAAAGAUGUCCUUAACUUACACAAUCAAUUAAAUUCCACGAAAGCCAGGGCACAAACUGGGAUUAGAUACCCCACUAUGCCUAGCCCUAAAUCUUGAUGCUUACUUUACCUAAGCGUCCGCCCGAGAACUACGAGCAUAAACGCUUAAAACUCUAAGGACUUGGCGGUGCCCCAAACCCACCUAGAGGAGCCUGUUCUGUAAUCGACAAUCCACGAUACACCCGACCACUUCUUGCUAGAAACAGCUUACAUACCGCCGUCGCCAGCCCACCUCCCUUGAGAGCACAACAGUGGGCGUAAUCGCCCUAACCCCGCUAGUAAGACAGGUCAAGGUAUAGCCCAUGAAGUGGAAGUAAUGGGCUACAUUUUCUAACCUAGAAAACCCUAUUUUCAACGGAAGGGGACAUGAAACAACCCCCAGAAGGCGGAUUUAGCAGUAAAGUGGGAUAAUAAAGCCCACUUUAAACUGGCUCUGAGGCACGUACAUACCGCCCGUCACCCUCUUCACAAGCUCCGACUUCGUAUAAAUAAUGCACUUGCUCGCCAAAGAUGAGGUAAGUCGUAACAAGGUAAGUGUACCGG
rnacentral:rRNA from 1 species